rnacentral:rRNA from 1 species
UACGGAGGAUCCGAGCGUUAUCCGGAUUUAUUGGGUUUAAAGGGAGCGUAGGUGGAUUGUUAAGUCAGUUGUGAAAGUUUGCGGCUCAACCGUAAAAUUGCAGUUGAAACUGGCAGUCUUGAGUACAGUAGAGGUGGGCGGAAUUCGUGGUGUAGCGGUGAAAUGCUUAGAUAUCACGAAGAACUCCGAUUGCGAAGGCAGCAUACCGGCGCGCAACUGACGCUCAUGCACGAAAGCGUGGGGAGCAAACAGG